rnacentral:rRNA from 1 species
UAGAGUUUGAUCAUGGCUCAGGAUGAACGCUAGCGGCAGGCUUAACACAUGCAAGUCGAGGGGUAGCAGGGAGCUUGCUCCGCUGACGACCGGCGAACGGGUGCGUAACGCGUAUAGAAUCUACCUCUUACUAAGGGAUAGCCCAGAGAAAUUUGGAUUAAUAUCUUAUAGUAUACAGACCUGGCAUCAGGAUUGUAUUAAAGGUUACGGUAAGAGAUGACUAUGCGUCCUAUUAGCUAGAUGGUGUGGUAACGGCACACCAUGGCUACGAUAGGUAGGGGCCCUGAGAGGGGGAUCCCCCACACUGGUACUGAGACACGGACCAGACUCCUACGGGAGGCAGCAGUGAGGAAUAUUGGACAAUGGAGGCAACUCUGAUCCAGCCAUGCCGCGUGCAGGAAGACUGCCCUAUGGGUUGUAAACUGCUUUUAUACAGGAAGAAACACUCUCACGUGUGAGAGCUUGACGGUACUGUAAGAAUAAGGAUCGGCUAACUCCGUGCCAGCAGCCGCGGUAAUACGGAGGAUCCAAGCGUUAUCCGGAAUCAUUGGGUUUAAAGGGUCCGUAGGUGGAUGAUUAAGUCAGAGGUGAAAUCCUGCAGCUCAACUGUAGAAUUGCCUUUGAUACUGGUUGUCUUGAGUUAUUAUGAAGUAGUUAGAAUAUGUAGUGUAGCGGUGAAAUGCAUAGAUAUUACAUAGAAUACCAAUUGCGAAGGCAGAUUACUAAUAAUAUACUGACACUGAUGGACGAAAGCGUGGGGAGCGAACAGGAUUAGAUACCCUGGUAGUCCACGCCGUAAACGAUGGUCACUAGCUGUUCGGACUUCGGUUUGAGUGGCUAAGCGAAAGUGAUAAGUGACCCACCUGGGGAGUACGUUCGCAAGAAUGAAACUCAAAGGAAUUGACGGGGGCCCGCACAAGCGGUGGAGCAUGUGGUUUAAUUCGAUGAUACGCGAGGAACCUUACCAGGGCUUAAAUGUAGAUUGACAGGUUUAGAAAUAGACUUUUCUUCGGACAAUUUACAAGGUGCUGCAUGGUUGUCGUCAGCUCGUGCCGUGAGGUGUCAGGUUAAGUCCUAUAACGAGCGCAACCCCUGUUGUUAGUUGCCAGCGAGUCAUGU